CCCCCACCAUGGUCAAGGCUCUCUACUGCUAUUUUUAGGUACUCUUUUGAAAGGCCUAACGGUUCUAAUGCUUGCAGGAACAGUAGUUGCUCUAUUUACUGUGAGUUGGAUGGGCAGAGAUUGAAACCUUGUCAUGCUGAUAACUUAGUACUGAGAAACUUAACUGCAAAUCAUAAGCACAACUUCCUUCUCAAAGUCAUAACCCUUAAUGGAGAGAAAAACUCUUCAGCUUAUUCAUGGUUUAUCGAUAAAAUCCCACCAACAGCAAUUAUUUCAAGCAAACAGAAUUACACGAAUGCUAAAAAGAUUACAAUCGACAUUACGUUCAAUGAAGCUUGCACUCGACAUGGUGGCUUCAAGUGUCUGAACUCAUCAAAUUGUGAUGUUAUUGUUGAUGGUCCUGCGCAUGUCCAGCCAUCAUCUCUGAGCAUCAUUGAACCUAACAUUAAAUACAGCUUCCUACUGGUUCUACCCUCGAAAAGCAUAUAUGGGCGUGUUGUGGUUACAAUGG